UGCUGUGCCGGGUUCUCGCGGCAGGGCCCGGCGGUCGCCACGCUGUCGGUGUUCGUCGAGCCGAUGACCGGCGAGUUCGGCUGGUCGCGCACGGCGA
rnacentral:tRNA from 1 species